ACCUGGCUGGCUCUGUGGGUAGAGCAUGAGACUCUUGAUCUGAACUCUGUGAGUUUGAGCCCCACAUUGGGUG
rnacentral:tRNA from 1 species